GCCAGUGUGGCGGAAUUGGUAGACGCAGUGGACUCAAAAUCCACCGAAGUUUACUUCAUGCCGGUUCGAGUCCGGCCACUGGUACCA
rnacentral:tRNA from 2 species